CAGGCUGAUCGAAGAUGAUGAAAUGCCACAUUCGCUUCAGUAAACAGACAUCUCAAAGUCCAAAGGAAACAAACUCAAAGAUCAAAUAUAUUUUAAUGUACACAUGGAAGAAUUUAACUAUGAAGUUCAUGAAGAAUGGCAAGUAUUAACAUACUGAAAGAUGGUAUUCAUGUGCAGGAGAAAGAUAAUCAUCUGUUUCUCAAUGAUGGCAACAUGCAAUAAAUGACUUCCUUCCGUAGAACCUCCAAAUUAGAGUAAUUCGUGUAUUUCCCGUUUCACAUUCUAGGAAAGUGAAAACAUACCUCCAAGAAACCCUAUUUAUGGCAAAUUCCUGUGUAACCUUCAAGUGUUACACGCCCUGUGACAUCUGACAUCCCCAGUAAGACUUUGGGAUUCCUUCCUCUCUAAGUUCCCAAUUCAUGUUGCACAUACACUCGUAUUAUAAUCUUUUCCCUGCCAGCAUGUAAGGUCUUCCCAGGAAGGGCUAUGUCUUUUGCCUUUGUAUCUCCAGUGCCCUAGUGCCUGGCAUAUAAGAGGAGCUGAACAUAUAUUUGCAUAGUAAAUGAAUAAAUGAAAGUCUUUUCUGACCAGUUUCAUCCUGCUCCGACCACUCUUUCAUUAUACAGCUUAGACUAUUUACAUCUCACCACACAAGCAUACACAGCAAAUGAACCACUGAGAUGCAAUAUGAUUUUUCUUAGUCAAGGAAUAUUUUAACGUGCAAGAAAAUUGACUAUUUAAAGAAACUUUACAUGAAUAUUUUUGUAACUGGUCAAGGAAGACAUGAAUUCAAAUAUUUACAGGGAUUUUAAGAAGCAGCCUGAGGGAGGGAGUCCAGAGCUAUUUCUUCUGUCUAGAAUGAAAACUGCCCGAAGAGUCUAAGAACUGGCCCAUUUCCCUCUUCUCAGCCCACACUCCUCAAUACCCUAAAUUCAAACCCGAAUAAAAAUUAAUAGCAAUCAAAAGAAGUAUACUCUAAAGAGGUUUAUAUCCACUAAAAAGAAAUGAAUAUAAAAGAGAAUUAUUCAAUUUUUCACUUUUAUUUUUCCUUUAUUAGACUAUUUCUCAAAAUGAACAUAGCUUUGUUUUUUCUUACCAUAAAGUAGCAUGUGUUAAUUGAAAUAAAAUCAGGCAAUACAAAAAGCAUAAAGAAAAAAAUGAAAAUUACCUUUAAUGCCAUCACUCAGAGAGAACUCUCAUUAACAUUUUACCUUUCCAUAUUUUUUCCUAUGCAUAUACAGAAAAUGUAGUAAUGUUAUAUGUGAUGUUUUGUAAUCUUUUUUUUAUUAAGUUGCCACACAUUAUGGGCAUCUUUUCUUUACAAUAAAUAUUUUCAUUAUUAUUUUUAAAUCUGCAGAGCAAUAUCCCAUUGUAUGGCUGUACUGUUAUUUAAUAA
rnacentral:lncRNA from 1 species